UCUCUGGUAGUAUAGUGGUGAGUAUCCGCGCCUGUCACGUGCGAGACCGGGGUUCGAUUCCCCGCCAGAGAG
rfam:Strongyloides venezuelensis genome assembly, scaffold: SVE_contig0000009